UAUGUUAAUAAAUAAACAUAAAAAUUGUGAAAUUCUUAUAUUUUCCUAUGUAUGUUUUCAAAUUUUCGCGCGUUAUUCGAGUCAUUGAUCGAGUGCGCAUGCGUGACUAUACAAAAUGCUUUUAUACAAAGUUUUCAUUCAAAUCCUCUUCGCAUUCAUAUAAUAUAUCAUAAAGUAUCGUAUGGUUCAUCCACUUUGUUCUUAUAUUUUUAUGAAAAUAAUAUUAUAAAUCAGCAAUUAUCAAUUCUUUCAUAAAUAUGUGCCACCAAAAUCAAAAUUCCACCACAACUUAAAGAAGUGCUUCUAACAAAAUAAAUGUACACUGGAAUACUUUAAUUUAACAAAUCGUAUAAUUAUUAGUAUAUAAAACAAUUUCAUUUGUACUUGUUUGAUACAAAUCAAUUUCUGUGUGUUUAGUACCAUUUUAUAGUAUUCUAUUUUAAAUUGAUACCGAUCCAAUAAACUAAAUUUAGUGCAUUCAAGUAAAUUAAUUUGAUUCCAAUUAAAUCUUCCGCCCUAUUUGUUUUUCGGUCAUUGAAAUUAAAUGUAAUGAUAAAAUAAAGUGGCGCGUAUCAUUGAUUGAGAACCUCUAUUAUAGAACGCUCGAUUUGAAUUUGGCGCCAACAGUUGUUAAGUUACCACUUCCACGAUUACAAUUUCAGUUGCAUAUUUCACGUCAAAGCAAGAACGCAUGUCACAAAAGUUCGCAGUUUCUACGAACAGUAACAAAACAAAUCACUUAAACAAGUGAUCGUCAUAUUCCUACAUUGAAUUUACACUACCGUUGAACUUCUCAGGUUUCAAUUCAAAUUUUGAGAAGUCUGUAACUACUUCUCAGUAGGUAAUGGAAGAACCUAAUCAGUCUUACCGACGUAGGUGUAGAAAUAAACCUCAUCAGUAUUACCGACACAGAUUCUUUCCUUUUCGUAAGUUCGAAAGCUUCGGGUUCAUUCCAUGGUUGAACUUCAGCUUGACCGAAAAUAAUGAAAACUAAGUUUCCCAAAGCGAUGCAGUUUGUGAUGGACAUCAUUGUACCGGCAUGAUUCGGGCUCAAAUCAAUGUGAUUGAUUUGGAAUCCACAUAAAGAUCCA